ACAACCUAAUAAGGUUAUGGGCUGUGACGAGCAUGUUGCAUGCACCUGGAAAUGGGAGAAAGGCAGGCGUGGAAUGAGCUUACCUGCUGCUCUACAUGAAAGCAGAAUUACUUUUAUAUUAUCUUGAUAAAACUAGUCAUCAACCUCUGUACAGCAGAAAAUCAACAUAGUCUGUAGACUUGGAAGUCGGGUUUUUUUCCACAUGCCUUUUCAUUUAUUUUCUGUCCCUUAUGAUUGCCUCUGGGGGAUAUUCCUGAUAUUGUCAUAUUGUUCCUCUGUGCUUGGUUCUCUGUAGCCUGCUGUUGGAGCUUGACUUAUAUUUGACUUUGGAACUCUUCAGACUUCUGUCUCCAAGAAGAUGAACUGUAACCUUUACUGCAGAGAGCUCCAUCAUGCCCAAGGAACAAAGAUGUUGACCACAGUCUUUCUUACACAAUUAAGUAAUCUUUUAGACAUUCUGACAAUAAACUGUGGACGGUCUGAAGGUUAUGUCUCCUGUUUCAUGCAUCAGCUCAGUGGGUGGAAUCCUGACUCUUCUUAAAUCAAUGGCAAAACUCUCUCUGACAUUCACUGGUGAGGAUUUCAGUGUUUGUCUUUAACAGCUGUCAUAACACAUUUUAUGAUGCAUUUGACCCUCUCUGCUCCUCCCAUUAGAGCUUUGAAUUAGAAGAMUCGAGUAUGUCCAGUAAUCAACAAGCAGAUUUCUCAAAGAGCUUGAAAGUCUCUAAGGUUAAGAAUAGAUAAAAGAGCGAUUGGAAAUUCAUCCAGCCAAAAAGCCCUUCUUAGGGAUGGGGCAAGUUUUGGUUUAGAAGACGCUUGUGACCUGCAUUU
rnacentral:lncRNA from 1 species